UCCCAGCCUUACAAAAACAAAACGGAUUAGUACGAAGUUGACAGGUAUUGGGAUUUGUGCACUCAUCGCAUGGCCUUUGUUUAAGUCUUCCAUUGACCAAAAGGAUUUCCGUUCUACAAGACUCAAUAAUUGUUGAGCAACUAUUCAAGACUCAGGUAUCUGGUGAACAACUGAAUUUCUGUGGAAGAAGUGAUGAUGAGGCUCGGAAGAAUAGGCCUCCAAGAUUACAACUGUUUAUAGGGAAGGAAAGGAUAUGAAGGAAAAUAACAAAAGAAAAGCUAAAAAAUUGGAAUUUUCGUUUAGUUUGGUGAUCAAAGCAUGGAGGGAAAAGGAAUAGUUAUCAGAUGAAGCAUCAUAUGUAUGACAAAGGGCGACAUGGCAAGAGAUGAUGGCUAGAGAAUCUUCACUUACUGUUUGCAAACAAUCUAAGUAACAAACUCAUGUGGUCGGCGAUUAAGGGAGCGUUCGAGGAAUACAAUAGGGUUGUUGACGUGCACAUGCCAAUGAGGGUCAUGCAAGACAAAACCAGCGGCACAAAGUUUGCCUUUAUUCACUAGUGACGUGCAUAUUCCCUAGAUCUUUAAGCUUUGAUGGAAGUUUAUUUUGAAUGAUGACACUGCAUUCCUCAGUAAGUGCAAUUGUCUCAAAAUAUUCUAAU